GGAUUAGAUACCCUGGUAGUCCACGCCCUAAACGAUGUCAACUGGUUGUUGGGAGGGUUUCUUCUCAGUAACGUAGCUAACGCGUGAAGUUGACCGCCUGGGGAGUACGGCCGCAAGGUUGAAACUCAAAGGAAUUGACGGGGACCCGCACAAGCGGUGGAUGAUGUGGCUUAAUUCGAUGCAACGCGAAAAACCUUACCUACCCUUGACAUGCCAGGAAUCUUGCAGAGAUGUGAGAGUGCUCGAAAGAGAACCUGGACACAGGUGCUGCAUGGCCGUCGUCAGCUCGUGUCGUGAGAUGUUGGGUUAAGUCCCGCAACGAGCGCAACCCUUGUCAUUAGUUGCUACGAAAGGGCACUCUAAUGAGACUGCCGGUGACAAACCGGAGGAAGGUGGGGAUGACGUCAGGUCAUCAUGGCCCUUAUGGGUAGGGCUACACACGUCAUACAAUGGCCGGGACAGAGGGCUGCCAACCCGCGAGGGGGAGCUAAUCCCAGAAACCCGGUCGUAGUCCGGAUCGCAGUCUGCAACUCGACUGCGUGAAGUCGGAAUCGCUAGUAAUCGCGGAUCAGCUUGCCGCGGUGAAUACGUUCCCGGGUCUUGUACACACCGCCCGUCACACCAUGGGAGCGGGUUCUGCCAGAAGUAGUUAGCCUAACCGCAAGGAGGGCGAUUACCACGGCAGGGUUCGUGACUGGGGUG
rnacentral:rRNA from 1 species